rnacentral:piRNA from 1 species
GCGUGGGUUAAAUAGAGCUGUGGG